UACGAAGGGGGCUAGCGUUGUUCGGAAUAACUGGGCGUAAAGCGCGCGUAGGCGGGCUGUUAAGUCAGGGGUGAAAUCCCACGGCUCAACCGUGGAACUGCCUUUGAUACUGGCAGCCUUGAGUUCGAGAGAGGUGAGUGGAAUUCCGAGUGUAGAGGUGAAAUUCGUAGAUAUUCGGAGGAACACCAGUGGCGAAGGCGGCUCACUGGCUCGAAACUGACGCUGAGGCGCGAAAGCGUGGGGAGCAAACAGG
rnacentral:misc_RNA from 1 species